rnacentral:rRNA from 1 species
CGCCGAAACUCAGGACGAACGCUGUCGGCGUGCUUAAAAUGCAAGUCGAACGAUGAACCACUUCGGUGGGGAUUAGUGGUUACCGGGUGAGUAACACGUGGGCAAUCUGCCCUGCACUCUGGGACAAGCCCUGGAAACGGGGUCUAAUACCGGAUACGACCAUCUUGGGCAUCCUUGAUGGUGGAAAGCUCCGGCGGUGCAGGAUGAGCCCGCGGCCUAUCAGCUUGUUGGUGAGGUAAUGGCUCACCAAGGCGACGACGGGUAGCCGGCCUGAGAGGGCGACCGGCCACACUGGUACUGAGACACGGCCCAGACUCCUACGGGAGGCGGCAGUGGGGGAAUAUUGCACACCCCCCCGAAAGCCUGAUGCAGCGACGCCGCGUGAGGGAUGACGGCCUUCGGGUUGUAACCCUCUUUCAGCAGGGAAAGAACCAAAGUGACGGUACCUGCAGAAGAAGCGCCGGCUAACUACCUGCCAGCUCCCGCGGUAUUACGUAAGGCGCAAGCGUUGUCCGGAAUUUAUUGGGCGAAAAAAACUCCUAAGGCGGUUUGUCCCGUCGAUUGUGAAACCCGGGGGUUUAACCCCCG